CAUGUCGGCGUGCUAUCAUGCAGUCGAGCGGACAGAUGGGAGCUUGCUCCCUGAUGUCAGCGGCGGACGGGUGAGUAACACGUGGGUAACCUGCCUGUAAGACUGGGAUAACUCCGGGAAACCGGGGCUAAUACCGGAUGCUUGAUUGAACCGCAUGGUUCAAUUAUAAAAGGUGGCUUUUAGCUACCACUUACAGAUGGACCCGCGGCGCAUUAGCUAGUUGGUGAGGUAACGGCUCACCAAGGCAACGAUGCGUAGCCGACCUGAGAGGGUGAUCGGCCACACUGGGACUGAGACACGGCCCAGACUCCUACGGGAGGCAGCAGUAGGGAAUCUUCCGCAAUGGACGAAAGUCUGACGGAGCAACGCCGCGUGAG
rnacentral:rRNA from 1 species